AGGGACCUACGGGGCGCAGCAGUGAGGAAUAUUGGUCAAUGGGCGGAAGCCUGAACCAGCCACGUCGCGUGAGGGAAUAAGGCCCUACGGGUCGUAAACCUCUUUUGCCGGGGAGCAAGGGCCGGGACGAGUCCCGGUCCGGAGAGUACCCGGAGAAAAAGCAUCGGCUAACUCCGUGCCAGCAGCCGCGGUAAUACGGAGGAUGCGAGCGUUAUCCGGCUUUAUUGGGUUCACAGGGCUCGUAGGCGGGCUUUUAAGUCAGCGGUA
rnacentral:rRNA from 1 species